rnacentral:rRNA from 1 species
GAUGAACGCUGGCGGCGUGCCUAAUACAUGCAAGUCGAGCGAACAGAUGAGGAGCUUGCUCCUCUGACGUUAGCGGCGGACGGGUGAGUCACACGUGUAUAACCUACCUAUAAGACUGGGAUAACUUCGGGAAACCGGAUCUAAUACCGGAUAAUAUAUUGAACCGCAUGGUUCAAUAGUGAAAGACGGUUUUGCUGUCACUUAUAGAUGGAUCCGCGCCGCAUUAGCUAGUUGGUAAGGUAACGGCUUACCAAGGCAACGAUGCGUAGCCGACGUGAGAGGGUGAUCGGCCACACUGGAGCUGGACCACGGUCCAGACUCCUACGGGAGGCAGCAGUAGGGAAUCUGCCGCAAUGGGCGAGAGCAUGACGGAGCAACGCCGCGUGAGUGAUGAAGGUCUCCGGAUCGUAAAACUCUGUUAUUAGGGAAGAACAAAUGUGUAAGUAACUAUGCACGUCUUGACGGUACCUAAUCAGAAAGCCACGGCUAACUACGUG